AAUCAACGCUGGCGGCGUGCCUCAGACAUGCAAGUCGAACGCGAAAGUUCCCUUCGGGGGAGUAAGUAGAGUGGCGUCCGGGUGAGUAACACGUAGGUAAUCUACCUUUGGGUGGGGAAUAACAACCGGAAACGGUUGCUAAUACCGCAUAAUGCAGCGGCACCACAUGGUGACAGUUGUUAAAGCGGGGGAUCGCAAGACCUCGCGCCUAAAGAGGAGCCUACGGCGGAUUAGCUAGUUGGAGGGUAACGGGCCGUACCAAGGCAACGAUCCGUAGCCGGCCUCGAGAGGGCGGGUCGGGCCGACACUGGGACGUGAGACACGGCCCGACGACUCCUACCGGGAGGGCGAGCAGUGGGGAAGU
rnacentral:rRNA from 1 species